CUUGUGGUUGUACAUGAUGUGGAGUUACCCUGGUUUUGAAUCCAUAUACAGGGAUAGGAAAAUUAUGUCAGAUUAAUUUUACUGUCUUUUCUAUUCCCCUCCCCCUUUCUUUCCCUUCAUUCCCCUUUGUCUAAUCCAAUGGACUUCUAUUCUUUCCCCAAACACACCCUCCCUUGUUGGGGGUUAGCCUCCACAUAUUGAGAACAUUCAGCCUUUGCUUUUUGGGGACUGGCUUAUUUCACUUAGCGUGAUAUUCUCCAGUUGCAUCAAUUCACUGACAAAUGCCAUAAUUUCAUUCUUCUUUAUGGCUGACUAAUAUUCCAUUGUGUAUAUAUUAACAUUUUCUUUAUCCAUUCAUCCAUUGAAGGGCACCUAAGUUGGUUUCAUAGCUUGGCUAUUGUAAACUGGGCUGCUAUAAACAUUGAUGUUCUGUGUCACUCUAGUAUGCUGAAUUUAAGUCCUUUGGGUAUAAAUCAAGGAGUAGGAUAUCUGGGUCAAAUGAUGUUGCCAUUCCAAGUUUUCUGAGGAAUCGCUAUACUGCUUUCCGGAGUGGUUGUACCAAUUUGCAGUCCUACCAGCAAUGUACGAGUGAAUCUUUUCCCCAAUAUCCUUGCUAACUUUUAUUGUUACUUGUAUUCUUGAUAAUUGUCAUUCUGACUGGAUUGAGAUGGAAUCUCAGUGUAAUUUUAGUUUGCAUUUCUUUAAUUGCCAGAGAUGUUGAACAUUUUUUUUCAUAUAUAUUUUGACCAUUUGUAUUUCUUCUUCUCUAAAGUACUUGUUGAGUUCCUUUGCCUAUUUAUUGAUUGGGUGGUUUUUACUGUUAUCAUC
rnacentral:lncRNA from 1 species